rnacentral:rRNA from 1 species
UCCGUAGGUGAACCUGCGGAAGGAUCAUUACCUAGAGUUGUAGGCUUUGCCUGCUAUCUCUUACCCAUGUCUUUUGAGUACCUUCGUUUCCUCGGUGGGUUCGCCCGCCGAUUGGACAAAACUUAAACCCUUUGUAGUUGCAAUCAGCGUCUGAAAAAACUUAAUAGUUACAACUUUCAACAACGGAUCUCUUGGUUCUGGCAUCGAUGAAGAACGCAGCGAAAUGCGAUAAGUAGUGUGAAUUGCAGAAUUCAGUGAAUCAUCGAAUCUUUGAACGCACAUUGCGCCCCUUGGUAUUCCAUGGGGCAUGCCUGUUCGAGCGUCAUUUGUACCUUCAAGCUCUGCUUGGUGUUGGGUGUUUGUCUCGCCUUUGCGUGUAGACUCGCCUCAAAACAAUUGGCAGCCGGCGUAUUGAUUUCGGAGCGCAGUACAUCUCGCGCUUUGCACUCAUAACGACGACGUCCAAAAAGUACAUUUUUACACUCUUGACCUCGGAUCAGGUAGGGAUACCCGCUGAACUUAAGCAUAUCAAUAAGCGGAGGA